UUCUUUCCUCUUUUGAUUUGAAAGGCGGUCCUCUCCUUGCGGGGACUGGAGAAUGCCACCGAGAGGAAGAGAGCCAUGGAGGAUGUGGGGUAAGCCCUGGUCUGAGGUGACCAUGGAAGAACAGAGCCUGGAACUCCCGGGAGCUGACCUUUCCCACCGUGCUGCAGGCUCUGCUGGAGAACACCGUGGGAACAGGCUGCUGGCUGCGCUGCUGCAGUUUGGACCAGAAUUUCCCAGAUUCUCAGAAGAUGGCUACUGGAAUAUUGAAAAUGUUCUCUCACACACACACUCUCCACUGGCAGAGAUUUGUAGUGAACAGGCCUAUCCUGUUCAUGGAUCGGGUAAAACUAGGAACCUGCUUUCCAGGUCGGAUGUCCCUCACCAGACUGACAGACGUGGACUAGUGGCU
rnacentral:lncRNA from 1 species